GAUGAACGCUGGCGGCGUGCCUAAUACAUGCAAGUCGAGCGAACGGACGAGAAGCUUGCUUCUCUGAUGUUAGCGGCGGACGGGUGAGUAACACGUGGAUAACCUACCUAUAAGACUGGGAUAACUUCGGGAAACCGGAGCUAAUACCGGAUAAUAUUUUGAACCGCAUGGUUCAAAAGUGAAAGACGGUCUUGCUGUCACUUAUAGAUGGGUCCGCGCUGCAUUAGCCAGUUGGUAAGGUAACGGCUUACCAAGGCAACGAUGCAUAGCCGACCUGAGAGGGUGAUCGGCCACACUGGAACUGAGACACGGUCCAGACUCCUACGGGAGGCAGCAGUAGGGAAUCUUCCGCAAUGGGCGAAAGCCUGACGGAGCAACGCCGCGUGAGUGAUGAAGGUCUUCGGAUCGUAAAACUCUGUUAUUAGGGAAGAACAUAUGUGUAAGUAACUGUGCACAUCUUGACGGCACCUAAUCAGAAAGCCACGGCUAACUACGUG
rnacentral:rRNA from 1 species